UUGAAUGAAUGUAGAGUCGGUUGUAGCUGGCCUCUUUCGAGGCAUGUGCACGCCUUCUCUUUCAUCCACACACCCCUGUGCACUUGUGAGACGGAGGCUUGCUCCUUUAAUUAGGACGGGGCUUCCGUCUGCUCAACAUAAAAUCAUAUUAUUAAAUUUUGAAUGUAAUUGAUGUAACGCAUCUAAUAC
rnacentral:misc_RNA from 1 species